rnacentral:rRNA from 1 species
UACGAAGGGUGCAAACGUUGCUCGGAAUCAUUGGGCGUAAAGCGCACGUAGGCGGCUUCAAAAGUCGGAUGUGAAAUCCCGUGGCUCAACCAUGGACGUGCAUUCGAAACUGCGAAGCUUGAGUAUGGAAGAGGGUCGCGGAAUUCCCGGUGUAGAGGUGAAAUUCGUAGAUAUCGGGAGGAACACCAGUGGCGAAGGCGGCGACCUGGGCCAAUACUGACGCUGAGGUGCGAAAGCCAGGGGAGCAAACGGG